UGGGGAAUAUUGGACAAUGGGCGAAAGCCUGAUCCAGCAAUACCGCGUGUGUGAAGAAGGCCUGAGGGUUGUAAAGCACUUUUAAUCGGGAGGAACAUCUACGGGCCAAUACCCCGUAGUCUGACAUUACCGAUAGAAAAAGCACCGGCUAACUCCGUGCCAGCAGCCGCGGUAAUACGGAGGGUGCAAGCGUUAAUCGGAAUUACUGGGCGUAAAGCGUGCGUAGGCGGUUGCUUAAGUCAGAUGUGAAAGCCCCGGGCUUAACCUGGGAACUGCAUUUGAUACUGGGCGACUAGAGUUGAGUAGAGGAGAGUGGAAUUUCAGGUGUAGCGGUGAAAUGCGUAGAGAUCUGAAGGAACACCAGUGGCGAAGGCGACUCUCUGGACUCAAACUGACGCUGAGGUACGAAAGCGUGGGUAGCAAACAGG
rnacentral:rRNA from 1 species